AUAGAUGCUCGUCUCGGAGAUUAAGCCAUGCAUGCCCGUGAAGAUGGGAACGGCGAACGGCUCAGUAAUACUGCGACGAUCUGCCCCUCGCGCGGCGUAACUGCGGGAAACUGCGGCUA
rnacentral:rRNA from 1 species